rnacentral:lncRNA from 1 species
UUGGAAGUGAAUUAAGACCCUCUCUUGGACACCAGCUGUGAAAGAAGGGACUUUUUACCUAGUAAGGAUGUGACAGACCUGCUCCUGACCCUCCUUUGUUAGUGGCCAGUAAACACGUGCAAGGCAAAGUCCCACCCUAGUUUUGAAAAAAGCCAAACUAACAACUCUGCCCAAUUUCAAGGAACCAAUAUAAUUUUCCGUACAUGAGUGUGAUUUAGAAAUGGAAACAUCAGAGCAGGGUUAAGUCAACAACCAAGCCAUAGACCUCAAAAGUACCAGACUUCAUGGUUCAACGAUGCCAAGAAAAAGAUUCCACCUAUAAACUCUUUAGAGAGUAACCACCUCAGAAAGUUCCAGACAAACCAGUUCCGCUUUACAGACCAGCCCUGUAUAAAGCUCUUACCACGUUAGUAAGAAGUUACUUGUGCUUUGGUUAUCAAACAGGCACAAUUAAAGGGAA